rnacentral:lncRNA from 10 species
AGCCUAGGGAGGUCAUUGGUGUCCUUGCCAAGCCCUGUUUUGGUUCUGGGUCCAGGAGACAGAGUGUAGUCAGAGGAGAGGAAUCACAGACAGCCCAGUGCAGACAACAGGCAACUCUUUCAAGGAGUCAUCUUAUAAAGCAACUAGAACAGUACCUGGCAGACACAAGACACGUAAUACAUAUUUUUGAAUGAGGAACUUGGCUCCAGAAGCCAUGAGAAUAACUUUGUUCCAACACAUUCAGGCUGCGGUCAGAAAGGGUGAGCUGGAAGCAGUGAGCUGGGAGAUAAUGAAACCAAAACACCAUUAUCAGGAAGCUUGAGAACAAGGCCACCUUUUAAGUAUCUAGAAAUUCCCAUUAAUUUCUUCCACACCUUGUUCCCCAUCCCACCUGAAGACUGAAGCUGAGAGGCUUUUUUCCCAGUCAUCUUGACCACAAGAUCAGUUCUCUCCGUGAACAUAAAGACAAAAUCGCUGUGACACCAACAGACAGAUUUUUUAACAAGUGGAAUCCAUGUCUCAUGUAAACAAUGUGCUACUGCCUGCCAUUGAGUUCUCUUCCCUCGUUUUCCUUUUUGAAGACUUAACCCCUUUCCCAAAGGGACAUGUGCUCAGGUUUCUUGACUCCACAGCAAUCCCUUCUGUUGUGUAAGGCAAACUGAUCACCUUUCACAACGAGACAAGAAGUGAUUUAAAUCAGAUGGUGACCCAAUGACAAUGUCUGUGCUGUGUCCUAUGGAGAAAACCAAAGCUGAAAUCCAGUAACAGGUGAUAGGAAGAUGUGGAGAUAGAAACUGACCUGAAUUCUGAAAAACAACAAGAGAAAAGGAAGUCUGAGAACAAGCUGGUGUUCUUCCAAAACCUGUUCAUUGUGUGAAUUCCUAGAAGAUAGCGUGACACCGAGAAACAGGCUGGAGUGACACACCCAAACAAUUAUGCUACCUGGAUCUGCCAAGGCAGGAGGACAAACUCAGCAGCCUGGAGAAUGGAGGACACAGUCCAGAGUUGUUCUUCUCACCUGAAGAACGUUGGGAAGACCUUAAUUGGAAUCACAAGAAUUGGGUGUAAACUUUGGCUCCACAUUCACUAUCUGUGGGACAUUCAUUAUCUGUGGGCUUCAUCUGUAAAUGGGUGGGCUGUCUUUGGGUAGGUCACCCAGUUGAAACAAUGGACUCCAAGGGUUUUAUUACCUCCUAAGUGUUGAAUAGGAUUAUUGUGUGUCUCCUUGACUUAAUUAGUCCAAUUUUCUACCUCAGGUAGCACAACCAUCACUUCUCAAUUUCGUAUUCUAUUUCUUUUAGGAAGAGUCAAUGCUCAAGAUCUGUGAGAAACUGAAGCAUGUUUGCCUGUUUUUCUCAAUAUAUGCACGUUCUGUAUAUCUCAGUUCUAAAGAACUAAAGGUAAACUCUAAUACGAGCAGUAGGAAAUGGCCAGAUAGGAGGAAUGUGCACAGUGACCUUGGGCAAAUGUCUGAAUUCUAAGGCCUUGUUUUCCUCCUCCACAACACGAGUAAAUCAGUUUCAAUAAUCUGUUAGGUCCCUUCUGUGUCAGCUUGGAAGUCCCUGCUGGAGGUAAAGGGUGACACUGUUCAAUGCACUGAGAACAGCCAGGAAGAAGCUCAAAUGUGUAAGAAUAGAAAAGGAAGGUUAUGGCCUUUUUACUUGAUUCCACAAUGCAAAGGUAAACAGUCAUGAGAAAGAAAAGAGGUUUAAAAGAAAACAAUAGUGACCUAUCUGCUUUCCCUUUUGGUAAAGUAACUUUCGUAGGGCUGCUUACCAUGCUGUAUAUAUAUUUUUAUUCUUUCUGCCCGUUAUUUACAUACUCAUUCAACAUAUAUUUAUUGAGAAGUUGCAGAGUUCUGCUGACUGUCUCAUCUUCCAUCUUCUAAAGCAAAACAACAACAACAACAACACACAGUUGUGCUAGUUUUUUGGCUUACCUCCUUACAAGGUCAUACUGCUAAAACCCUCACUCUGGCAUGACUAAUCUGACACAUAGUUUGCCUUUGUUCUCCAGAGGUCUAAUGAACAGCUCCCUGUACACCACCAGGUACAGUCUACACUCUUUGAGCUGGCCUUGAGCCCCUUGCCAUCUGAGCUGCCUCCCUUGUUCCUAUUUUAGCUUCCUGCAUGCCCAGGCAGCAAGUGACUUGGCUCCACAAACAGCCUGUUGCUAUGAUCUGCUUCUUCCUCUCAUUCAAACCCUCGAGGCCUCGGGAGGUAGUGUAGCAUGAUGUUAAGAGCAAAGCUGUGAAGUCAGUGAAAGAUGGGUUUUACCUGAAAUCCCAUCAUUAACUGGUUUUGAAAACUCUGCCAAGUUUCCUAAGCCCUCUGAUGUAUGAAAAGACGAUGAUAACCACUUUGCUGAAUUGUCUUAAGGCUAAAAGGAGAUAAAUUAUGUAACUUGUUUGCUUUGAAAAUGGAUUGAUAUUUGCUCAUGAAAUCUCCUUCAGGCGCAUGUCAUGAACCCUAUUCGUGCAGUCCAACUUCUACUCAACUUUCAAAGUUGGGGUUUCAUGCCAUUUUUAUCAUGAAAUGUCCAAAAGCAUGUGCCCCCUCAGUUGGACUCUCUGUUAUGGCCCAUAUUACGUUUUAUCAUGUAUUUUAGAUAUCUAUGUUGUUAGUAUAUGGAAAGUAAACAUCUUAUUUAUCUUUAUUUUGUCACAAAGCCUGGCACAGUUGAUUGCCUAUUUGGUAUGUAGUAGUAAAAAAAUUCUUAUGAAAUGAAUUAGUGAAUGAAUAUACAAUGUAUUAAUAAAUGAUUUUGCUAGUGGUAAAUAUUCCUAUACAUAAGGAGCUAAAGGGGGCAUGCCAGCUGAUCAAUCUUUCUGAAAUAAAACCUUUUGAAAGUCUUUCUCCAGUAAGAUAUUUGAGCUCAUAUAACUGACAAGAGUAUUAGGAUAUAAAAUAUAUAAAAAUCAUAUGACUCAAUAAGAAAAAAACUAAUUAUAAAAAGGGGCAGAGGGCAGGAACAGGAGAUUUCAUAGAAAAUAAAACCCAAAUGGCCAAUAAAUAUAUGAAAUGUUGUUCCACCUUACUAGUAAUUAUAGAAAUGAAAACUAAAAUAAUAAGAGAACAUUUCAUAAAUUGAACACUUUGGAAGUACUUAGUAGUGGUAAGGAUGUAAGAAAUGAGCAUUCAAAAAUUCAGGUUUCAAAUUGAUCAUAGUAGAUUCCUACAAGUAAAUACAAAAAUGCAUGAGAAUAAUGAAUCUGAUCUACCUGUACCAACAGGAAUAAAUUCAGAAAACAACAGAAAAUGAUAAAGGUUACUUGCAGAAGUAUAGAACAGUAUGAUGGUAUUUCUAUAUGGCAUCAACCCAUACACACACAUACACACACACA